UGGUUAGGUCCAAUGGGGAAUAGACGAAUCAAAACUCCUGGGAAUGACUGAUGGUUCUCUGCUCAUCUUUCCCUCUCUGUGAGGCCUUCCCAUCUCUGACAGAGUAAACUUCACAACCUGCUCCUCAGUGUUCCCUUUGUAUGCCCUUCUGCCAUUUAAUUUCUUUGCAGGUGCCAUAAUCAUCUGUCAACCUCUGUCUCAGCCACUGGACUGUGUGCUCCCUGAGGACAGUACAUCUGUUUCUAUGCCUUUGUUCAUGGCAUACAGAAAGACCCAGAAAAGAAGGAGCCCCCAGCAAAAGGGAGAAGGCAUUCAAGUAAUGUGUGUGCUGGGGCAGAACAAGAAAAGCAUUGUUUGGGGAGAAACGGCAAAGUCUCCCAGAAGUGAAAGCCUAUCAACUGGCCUCAGAGCUGAAGGCUCUCUGGAGCAGGGGAAGGACACAGAGCCCAGCUCCCUCAAGCCUGGUGGGCUGCUUAGCACCCCAAGUUGGAAGAUUUGGGGCUGAGACAUCCUCACCGCUUUUGCAUUAUUUCAUUAAGCUGUUGACAAAUAAACACAUGGAAACAAUCUAUA